UUAAUUGAUUUGGAAAUCUAUUCUAUACUAAAAGCCAAAUAUAAAGGGAUUAUAGGAUGUCCACGUGGACAAUUAUAUUUAGCCAAUAAAAACAUUUCAUUAAUCCACGCUGUUCAAUUAAAAAAAAAAAAAACCUGACGGUGAAGACGAGGGUCUCCGCCUCUCAAGAGGAUCUACUCCUCUAACUUUUCGUCUUCACCGUUUCAACUCUCUGAUAUUCACCGUUACCACGAUCACUGUAAAUGAUUCAAUAUGUUCUUUACUCCUUUCUUUAUGAUUUUGUUUAAUCUCCUUUGUUUAUCUUUUCUAUAUAAAACCCUUUUACAUCAAUCAAAAUCUACGGCCUCCAAAGCUAGGUUCAGGUUUCAUUCGAUCAAAUAGUUCAAUGCGAACUGCUACAGGAGAGCCGAUCUAUACGAUUAGCUAAUCGUCGGAGAAAAUCUACAGGAGCUCCAACUACUCCUCAUACUUCACAGCAACAAAGCUCACUUGCGUACAUCUCCUACUCAUACAUUGAUUGAAUACAAAUUCCCUACGGCUUGGGAAUCUCGAGGUUUUGUAUUAUGUUUUAUCUUCUUCGGGUCGCUCACAGGAUGACAGAGUUGUGAUGGCUCACAUGAACAGUGGUAUCACAAAAAGUUAGACCAGACUCGAUUAAGAUUUUCAUGAGGAGUGGCUCAACUAAGCCUAUAGUCUAAUUACAAUGCAAAGAUCAAGCCUGAAGCAAAGGUUGCAGGCUGGCAUGUUUAACGGUGUAGGGGAAGCCAUUGUAGGGACGUGGAAGCAAGAAGGUCCAGGGGGCUUUUUCCGUGGGACAGGCCCAACUCUUUGCCGUGAAGUUCCACUAUACGUUGUUGGCAUGGGACUGUAUGCAGAGUCCAAAAAGAUGGUGGCGCAAGCACUGGGAAGAUAACUAGAGGCAUGGGAGACAAUAGCGGUUGGAGCGGUGUCAGGAGGCAUAGUAGCAGUUGUAACAACGCCAUUUGAUGUGAUGAAGACGAGAAUGACGACUGCAAAACCAGGGAGACCGAUCUCAAUGUCAAUGGUUGCUUUCUCGAUCCGACCGCUUGGUUUGUUCAAAGGAGCAGUCCCGAGGUUCUUCUGGGUGGCUCCUCUUGGUGCCAUGAACCUUGGCUAUGAGCUAGCCAAGAAAGCUAUGCAGAAGAACGAGUAAGUUGUAAUGGCUGAUCAGCUUGGUCAGAAGAAGCUUUGCUAAUGGGCUUUUACUUUGCUUUUUUGGGGGGACAGGUUAAGCCAGAGAUGGACUCAUCAUAAAACUCUGGUUCCAGAAAUAGUUGGUUGUUUUGACUGUUGGGACGACUUUAUAGAGUAGUGUCACAUGACACUGGACAGUAACAAUACUUGGUUGGACUCUUUCUCUUGAGAAUUUAAUCCUCACCAAUCACCACAUCGGUACACCUAUGAUUCUUGAUUUCAGCGGGUAUAUUUCACAGAGUAUGCCAUGAGGGGAAAGUUUUUGCUUCAGGGAAGUCUGAUGUUUUAAGCAUAAGCUUUAGGUUCUUAUUAAGCUUUGCCAUGAUUUCACGUGAAAUAACCAAAUGUUAUAACAGUAUUUGUUCUUGCAUUAACGAAAUGAUAUUUUCAGAGGAAAUAACUUGAUAUUUUAGUCUCUGUACAAAACGAGGCACUGCAGCCGGGUGAGAAUAGCAUGCCUUGCUGAUUAUGAGAUGUACAUCGGAUUUAAAACAACAUGAGGUAGAUCAGCACAGCAGAUUCGACAGGGAAGCAUCAGCGUUCUCAUCGGCCCCACUAGACACUCCCACCGUCGAUCACCACGUUCGCUGCUAUUCCUUAAAAAUAACUCGAAUAAGCAGUCAAUUGAAACUCCUUCAGAAGCUUUUGUUCUUCCACAAGAGUAUGUGUCAACUAAUGAGUCUACUAGAGUAUGUGUCAACUAAUGAUCCAAAUUUUACUAGAACAACAAAAAGUUUCUACCUGUUGCUUUUUACCUAUUGAGUUUAUUUAUUUAUUUUAAGAUUCAUAUAUAACCUAAGCUAUGUUGUUGAGAACUCCUGUAUGGAUGAUGAUAACACAACUGGUUUGGUUUGGAUUGUUUUCCACCCAGGUCUGGCGCAUAUGGAGGUUUCCAACCCUCUAGGCUUUUUGUAGGUUCCAGGAUUUGAUGCUAUCUUUACCGGGGAAUAUGAUACUUAGGAAGCUUGGCUAUGUGGAUCUCUCUUAGCUCCCCACGGCUACGACUUUUUCAAUGUUUAAAAAUUAGGCUUACACAUAUAUUGUUAGUCCUUAUAUGCUAAAAUAAUAAAAUCAAUAUUGAUCGCAAUAUAACAGAUAUUUUUUGUCAAAAAGAUAACAGUUCUUCUUUUUUUCCGCAGCGAGAAAAAGUUCAAAAAAGGAUUAAUAAAUUACACAGCCUUUUCUAAAAAUAGAUAGUUAGACCUAUGUUAGCAAACUAAGCAUAAAUAAUUACCUUGACCGAUAAAAACUUAAAGUUAAUAUAUUAGAUAUUAAAUAUCUAAGUUAAUUCUUAAAAAAAACUGAAAUUUAGAAUUUUUUUGGAAAUUAUUUAAAAUCUCAGCUAACCAAAAAAUGAUGUCUUAAACAUAUAAAAUCAAUAUCAAUAUAAACGUGCCGAAAGAAUAUAAAAAUAUAGAUAUGAAACGAAUUGAAGAUCACAAUAACUAAAAACUGAAUAUAACUAAACAUAUAGAAAAAAAGAU